UCUCCGUAGGUGAACCUGCGGAGGGAUCAUUACAGAGUUUAUGCCUUACCGGGUAGAUCUCCCACCCUAUGUUAUUAUUACUUUGUUGCUUUGGCGGGCCGUUAGGCUCCGGCCCGACUACCGGCCCCGGCUGGUAAGCGCCCGCCAGAGGACCCAAAACCCUGAAUAUUAGUGUCGUCUGAGUACUAUAUAAUAGUUAAAACUUUCAACAACGGAUCUCUUGGUUCUG
rnacentral:misc_RNA from 1 species